ACACAACAUUAAAAUCAGUAGGACUCCACCUACCACUGCCUUAAGCCCUCCAAACCACUCAUACCAGCUACCAAACCAACUACUUGGAUUGUACCCUUUCCAUACCUGAGUAGGCACAUGCGCUAGUUUAACCAUAUGGUUAGUAAGCUCAGCUAUUGCUUGCCCUUCGUCAUCUAUUUGAAGACAGCAAUUGCUCAGGUUAAACUUCCCACAUACACCUCCCUCUACUGCCAAAAGAUAAUCCAAGGCUAAUCUAUUUUGGUAAACUGCUGUCCUCAUC